rnacentral:rRNA from 1 species
UACAGAGGGUGCAAGCGUUGUUCGGAAUUACUGGGCGUAAAGCGCACGUAGGCGGAUUGUUAAGUCGGGGGUGAAAUCCUGGAGCUCAACUCCAGAACUGCCUUCGAUACUGGCGAUCUCGAGUUCGGGAGAGGUGAGUGGAACUGCGAGUGUAGAGGUGAAAUUCGUAGAUAUUCGCAAGAACACCAGUGGCGAAGGCGGCUCACUGGCCCGAUACUGACGCUGAGGUGCGAAAGCGUGGGAGCAAACAGGG